rnacentral:lncRNA from 1 species
AGGCCUGGUUCCAUGAGGAAUCCGAUAGUGGGUCGACCGACAAUGGAGUUCGGAUGACGUUAUGGAGGUUCAUCCACUGGAGGAGUUUUGAGGACACUGUGGAAGGUCAAACAUUGGAGGAAUCUGGGAUUCAAUUUUGUUGUAGAAGUUCGGACGGAGUCCAGCUCUUGUAGGAGUCUGGAUGAGGUUCGCUUAUUGUUGAAGCUCGGACAAAGAUUGAUUGCCGUGGA